CGAUGUCAAGACGUUACAAACGCACGAGCCCCCUCGCCGUCUCCCUGGCGUUUGUGAGGUCCUGUCCAAGCUCCUUCACACGUAGAGCACCGGGCCUCGCUCCCCCGACUCCUUCCGUGGGCCUGAACCUUGAGGGGCUGAGUUUUGAAGGCAAGACUUUGCAGGAGUCUGGCGUUAAUACGCAUCCCCAAAGUCUGGAGUCGAUAAGGACUGAAGACACGACGCCGACGGCGGCCGGGGGACACCGGGCAUGCGCGUCUCAUCCAGGGGGAGGCCGAGCGGAGCCUCUGACCCUGCCCCGCGCCCAGGGUUCAGCAGUGGGGGGUCGUCCCGCCCCAGAUCCCACCGAGAUGGCCCCCCCUGACCCACAGGCCUUUCGAGACGCGAGCUUCCGCGAUCCGGGGUCUCUGUGCGAACAUGGGCAUCUUGGAAGAGUCCCGGCCCCGCUCGGGGCGCACAGGCAGGCGCUCUCACCACGGCACCCGCGCCUCCGCUAGGGACAGACAUGCUUCCGGGUCGGCCGGCACCGCGGAGUCCCCUGGGUAACGAGCCCGCCCCACCCGCGCCAGGUUCCGGCGUCGGCGUUAGGCGCGUUGCUGACGGGCAGGUUAUGUAGCCAAUUGCGGCUAGGCGGCGUCGCGCUGGUCGCGGGCCGAACCAAUGGCACGCGACGGGGCGGGGCGGUGGCGGCCGUGGAGCUUUGCGAGGAGCCGCCCUGCGGGAAGAAGCCGAAGGGGAGUCGGCGGCACAAAAUGGCGGCGGCGGCGGCGGCGGCGGCUGGUGCUGCAGGGUCGGCAGCUCCCGCGGCAGCGGCCGGCGCCUCGGGAUCUGGGGGCGCACCCUCAGGGUCACAGGGGGUGCUGAUCGGGGACAGGCUGUACUCCGGGGUGCUCAUCACCUUGGAGAACUGCCUCCUGCCUGACGACAAGCUCCGUUUCACGCCGUCCAUGUCGAGCGGCCUCGACACCGACACAGAGACCGACCUCCGCGUGGUGGGCUGCGAGCUCAUCCAGGCGGCUGGUAUCCUGCUCCGCCUGCCGCAGGUGGCCAUGGCUACCGGGCAGGUGUUGUUCCAGCGCUUCUUUUAUACCAAGUCCUUCGUGAAGCACUCCAUGGAGCCCUCAAGCCUUUGGCGGCCGUCAGGACGCCGUGGCUGGGGACAAACAUGGGCGUGUUGCAAUGCUUCCGCUUCAGCAUGUGUCAAUGGCCUGUGUCCACCUGGCUUCCAAGAUAGAAGAGGCCCCAAGACGCAUACGGGACGUCAUCAAUGUGUUUCACCGCCUUCGACAGCUGAGAGAGAAAAAGUGCUCAUAGUUGGAGGUAACGACGGGAUCUCAGAAGCCUUGCUCUGCUCGACGGUGGUGCAGACCCUGUGCUCUCUCUCUGGCAGGAAGCCCGUGCCUCUACUACUGGAUCAAGAUUAUGUUAAUUUAAAGAACCAAAUUAUAAAGGCGGAAAGACGAGUUCUCAAAGAGUUGGGUUUCUGCGUCCAUGUGAAGCAUCCUCAUAAGAUAAUCGUUAUGUACCUUCAGGUGUUAGAGUGUGAGCGUAACCAACACCUGGUCCAGACCUCAUGGAAUUACAUGAACGACAGCCUUCGCACCGACGUCUUCGUGCGCUUCCAGCCAGAGAGCAUCGCCUGCGCCUGCAUUUAUCUUGCUGCCCGGACGCUGGAGAUCCCUUUGCCCAAUCGUCCCCAUUGGUUUCUUUUGUUUGGAGCAAGUGAAGAAGAAAUUCAGGAAAUCUGCUUAAAGAUCUUGCAGCUUUAUGCUCGGAAAAAGGUUGAUCUCACACACCUGGAGGGUGAAGUGGAAAAAAGAAAGCACGCUAUCGAAGAGGCAAAGGCCCAAGCCCGGGGCCUGUUGCCUGGGGGCACACAGGUGCUGGAUGGUACCUCGGGGUUCUCUCCUGCCCCCAAGCUGGCCUGGAGUGCAGUGGCGCUAUCUGGGAUCACUGCAAGCUCCGCCUACCAGAUGCUGGUGAUUCUUGUGCCUCACCCUCCCAAGUAGCUGGGAUUACAGGCGCCCACCACCACGCUCAGAGUCUCGCUGUGUUGCCAGGUGAGUACUGUGGCGUGAUCUCGGCUCACUGUAACCUCCACCUCCUGGGUCCAAGCGAUUCUCCUGCUUCAGCCUCUGGAGUAGCUGGGACUACAGGCGCGUGCCACCAAGCCCAGCUAAUUUUUGUAUUUUUAGUAGAGAUGGGGUUUCACCAUGUUGGGCAGGAUGGUCUCGAUGUAUUGACUUUGUGAUCCGCCCUCCUCGGCCUCCCAAAGUGCUGGGCUCACAGGCGUGAGCCCCCGCGUCCAGCCUCAUCUGCAUUUCUGUGAUGUCUGUGUAAGUUCUGGGUCCCAGCUGGGAGCCGGAAGUUACAGUCUGCUUGCGUCGCUGUUUGACCUGUAGAGGGGCCUUAUCUCUCUCUACGAAUUUGUUUCUUGUUGGGAGAGUGUUUUGUGGUUGGCUUUUAACCUCUUGUUCUGAUUCUAGUGGAAUCCCCCAAAGAAGGUAAAGGGAGCAAGCCUUCCCCACUGUCUGUGAAGAACACCAAGAGGAGGCUGGAGGGCGCCAAGAAAGCCAAGGCGGACAGCCCCGUGAACGGCUUGCCAAAGGGGCGAGAGAGUCGAAGUCGGAGCCGGAGCCGUGAGCAGAGCUACUCGAGGUCCCCAUCCCGAUCAGCGUCUCCUAAGAGGAGGAAAAGUGACAGCGGCUCCACAUCUGGUGGGUCCAAGUCGCAGAGCCGCUCCCGGAGCAGGAGUGACUCCCCACCGAGACAGGCCCCCCGCAGCGCUCCCUACAAAGGCUCUGAGAUUCGGGGCUCCCGGAAGUCCAAGGACUGCAAGUACCCCCAGAAGCCACACAAGUCUCGGAGCCGGAGUUCUUCCCGUUCUCGAAGCAGGUCACGGGAGCGGGCGGAUAAUCCGGGAAAAUACAAGAAGAAAAGUCAUUACUACAGAGAUCAGCGACGAGAGCGCUCGAGGUCGUAUGAACGCGCAGGCCGUCGCUAUGAGCGGGACCACCCUGGGCACAGCAGGCAUCGGAGGUGAGGCGGGGUUGCAGUGACUGGUGGCCGCAAGCCCUUCCCUGGGGAGUACCUGAUGGCUGCCCUUUGACCCCCGGUGGCUGCCCUUUGACCCCCGGGUGUGCUCUCUCAGCGCAAGUGGCCCUAGAGCAGGAUUCUUUUUGGAAAUGUCUGUCGACUGGACCUUGGUGGAUUUGGAAAUGGAACUGAGGGACCGGUGACACGUGCUUCAGACCGGUCUGGGGUGCGGCGCACACCUGGGCCGGUGCGGGGCUCAGCUCGGCAGCAGCUCUGAGGGCAGCUCAAUGAAAAAGUGAAUGCACACGCCCUUGGUGGCGUGGCCUGGCAUGGCCUGGUGCUAUCGGCAGCCGCUCCCCACUCCCCGACUGAUACUCAAUUACGUGAAGCCAAGAAGGAUGAUUUUUAGAACCUUUGCCUAUAUUAGGUUGUACUUAUGUACAUAUUUUGCAGUGUUUCACAGGAGAAAGUGGCCUUAACUGCCCCUUAUUCUCUCUCCACGUUGUAAAUAAACAUGUGUUUAAUACAAGUUAAAGCUA